rnacentral:rRNA from 1 species
UGCAAGUCGAACGGUAACAUUUCUAGCUUGCUAGAAGAUGACGAGUGGCGGACGGGUGAGUAAUGCUUGGGAACUUGCCUUUGCGAGGGGGAUAACAGUUGGAAACGACUGCUAAUACCGCAUAAUGUCUACGGACCAAACGGGGCUUCGGCUCCGGCGCAAAGAGAGGCCCAAGUGAGAUUAGCUAGUUGGUAAGGUAACGGCUUACCAAGGCGACGAUCUCUAGCUGUUCUGAGAGGAAGAUCAGCCACACUGGGACUGAGACACGGCCCAGACUCCUACGGGAGGCAGCAGUGGGGAAUAUUGCACAAUGGGGGAAACCCUGAUGCAGCCAUGCCGCGUGUGUGAAGAAGGCCUUCGGGUUGUAAAGCACUUUCAGUUGUGAGGAAAAGUUAGUAGUUAAUACCUGCUAGCCGUGACGUUAACAACAGAAGAAGCACCGGCUAACUCCGUGCCAGCAGCCGCGGUAAUACGGAGGGUGCGAGCGUUAAUCGGAAUUACUGGGCGUAAAGCGCACGCAUGCGGUUUGUUAAGCUA